ACGUAGGUGGCAAGCGUUGUCCGGAUUUACUGGGCGUAAAGAGCGCGCAGGCGGUCGUUCAAGUCGCGUGUGAAAGCCCCCGGCUCAACUGGGGAGGGUCACGCGAUACUGAUCGACUCGAAGGCAGGAGAGGGUAGUGGAAUUCCCGGUGUAGCGGUGAAAUGCGUAGAUAUCGGGAGGAACAUCAGUGGCGAAGGCGGCUACCUGGCCCAAUACUGACACUCAGGUGCGACAGCGUGGGGAGCAAACAGGA
rnacentral:rRNA from 1 species